rnacentral:lncRNA from 1 species
UGGGAUUACAGGCGCCCGCCACCACGCCCGGCUAAUUUUUUGUAUUUUUAGUAGAGACAGGGUUUCACUGUAUUAGCAUGCUAAGAAUACACAACUAAAAUCAGAGCUAAUGACAAUACAAUUACUAGGUAGUAGCAACUGGAAUAUUAAAUUCUAUCAUGACAACACCAGAAACACUUGUACAAGCUUCUUCAAAUGAUCAAUGUAAUCUGUCCACAAAAAUCUCUGACAAGCCACAAAGUAGAAAUGAAAGACGUUAAUAUUAGGAUAAGGAGCGAUGCUGCCAAAACACGUCAACAGUGGCCAGUCUACGUGUAUUAUUAGAUUUUUACAUGGAGUUGCAGGUAAAUAAAAGAUGAUUGUGUAAAAUCUUCUGGAGGUCAUAAGUAAUCUAGCAGUGUGACACAGGGCCACAUAUGGUUUC